GGGAGGAUGGCCGAGUGGUUUAAGGCGCUGUGUUUAGGUCUUUGUACAUGAACCGCAGUGGGAAACCUCGUGGGUUCGAAUCCCACUCCUCUCA
rnacentral:tRNA from 1 species